rnacentral:lncRNA from 1 species
UAUCUCUCUCUCUCUCUCUCUCUCUCUCUCUCUCUAUAUAUAUAUAUAUAUAUAUAUAUAUAUAUAUAUAUAUAUAUAUAUAUAUAUACCCACUUAUAAAUAGGGAUGCAAACGAGGCGGAUCCGAGACGGGGAGGAUUUUUUCGUCUUUCGUUCUAUUUUUUGUCAGGAUAGGAUGGAUUAUUUCUUAUUUUAUUUUUGGUUCUACAACAAAAAUAAUGUAAAGCGAUACUUUUAAAUAUCAGUACAAGUCAAAAAAAUACUGCUGACUAAAUUACCGACACUUUAUAAAAAUAUCGCUAUAUGUGGAGUCGUUAUAUGUGGGGCCGACUUGAUUUUUGACAUCACUCAUCCAGCGAUUUGUGACGAAAAGACACGUAGCGAUUGUAACCCUCUAUGAUCCCUGCGAGAUUCUCGUGGCCGAACUCCAGCCGUCGGAAUUCUAUCUCGUUGGUUGUGACGGCGGAGGAGGAGAAAGGGCGAUGGCGAUCAAUUUUUCCUUUUUUUUUUCUUUUCUGCCUAGUGGGCUGGAUGAGAUUGGUUGAGUAAAGAGGCUUUUUAUUUUUGAUUGGUUUAUGCUUUAUAUUUAGGGCUUAGUAUAUUUUUUAAAAAAAUAUUUACACAAAAAUAUUUUAAAAAUAUGUCCUUAUAAUCUAAUUUUGUUGUAAUAUUACUGUCCAAUUCGAGGCUGUGCAGGAGCUAAUUUUUGGCCAAUUUUUGAUGAAUCGGAACAGAUUAAAGAAAGAAAAGAGUCAUCCGCCUCCCGCUCCAUUUACUUGGUGGAUCGGGACGGAUUCGAGACGGGUUAUAUUUUUCUAUAUUUUUUUAUUCCCACUUCCGGCCCUAUGCGGACGGAUUAAUACGAGAGCUCCACCAACCCAAAUUCAUUUGCAUCCCUACUUAUAAACCCCUAUAAAUACCCCACACUCAUAAACCCUAAUCUCCACCAUAAACAAUUAAGCAUCUCUCUCUCUCUCUCUCUCUCU